rnacentral:rRNA from 1 species
GAACGCUGGCGGCGUGCUCAUCAUGCAGUCGAGCGAACUUGCGGGAGCUUGCUCCCAAAAGUUAGCGGCGGACGGGUGAGUAACACGUGGGCAACCUGCCUGUAAGACUGGGAUAACUUCGGGAAACCGGAGCUAACUACCGGAUAACUCUUAUCAACUCAUGUUGAUAAGCUAAAAGACGGUUACGCUGUCACUUACAGAUGGGCCCGCGGCGCAUUAGCUAGUUGGUGAGGUAACGGCUCACCAAGGCGACUAUGCGUAGCCGACCUGAGAGGGUGAUCGGACACACUGGGACUGAGACACGGCCCAGACUCCUACGGGAGGCAGCAGUAGGGAAUCUUCCGCAAUGGACGAAAGUCUGACGGAGCAACGCCGCGUGAGUGAUGAAGGUUUACGGAUCGUAAAACUCUGUUGUUAGGGAAGAACAAGUACGAGAGUAACUGCUCGUACCUUGACGGUACCUAACCAGAAAGCCACGGCUAACUACGUGCCAGCAGCCGAGGUAAUACGUAGGUGGCAAGCGUUGUCCGGAAUUAUAGGGCGUAAGCGCGGCAGGCGGUCCUUAUAAGUCUUGAUGUGAAAGCCAAGGGUC